UGUAUCUUCAGGCCCCUGCCAGAUGGCCACCUCUGCUCCAAAGCCAGCUCUGCUGCUGGGUUGCUCAGGUUAACAACUCCUAAUCUUUUCAAGUGAAAAUGAGCUCAAGUAGCUCUUGAUCCCAGCAAUUGCUAUUCAAAUGACCCUGUCCACAGGUGUUUGCGUGGAAUAGCUGUGGUUAGAAGAGGAUGUACAGUCAAGCCUUACUGGGAGUUACUCAUGAACUAAACUUUCUGGGCUCACAUCCCACAAACCUUUCCUCUUUUUUGAACAACAGUCCAAUUCCCAGUCCAAGAAACCUUUCCUUCAGAAGUUUUAUCAUUAUAAAAUGUAUGAAUCACAAAGGGUUUUGACAAAUCAGCCUUCCCUAAGAAGUGGAAGGUCCCAAACACCUACCUCCAACUCUAACCACCUUUCCUGACUCCUUGGGGUUUUAGGCAAUGCUUCAGAAAAGCAGCUUGAGUGAUCUGCUCCCAUUUCUCUUGAAGCGCUCAAAUGACAAACCCCUGAAUAUAUGGCCAGCGAGACACUGGAGUAUUAUGUUGUUCCAUCAAGCUGCAAUGAGUGGCUUGACAUAUCUAAUUUCUGUUCCAAGUUCCUGAUUACCUUUAUGUACACUAUUGUUGAAUACAAGCCUGUGUUUACUGUGCUGGCCUUCUGCAAAGUCUAAGUAAUAAAUUAUACAAGCUGGUUUGAAUCAAAUGUAAGAAAACCAAAGUUAAUUGAAAGGGCUUAAAGGUGCAGUGUGGUACAGUGGCUUCCUUAUUCUCCAGGGUCCCUGAGUUCUGCCAUGCUGGUCCUCCUACCCAGUGAUUUCUGUAUUGGGCAAGGCUCAAGUUGUGCCAGCAAGCCUGAACAAGUUCCCAGGAAAGGUGGGAGGACUUUCCCGUGAGUUCUUCCAGCUUCUGGUUUUGUAUUCAAGGGCUACGGAGUGGUUUCCUUCUCCUCAAAGACUUCCUCUGUCCUGGCCUUUGCACCUCAGGGUGGGCAUAGGAGACCUGCCACUGCAAGUUUAGCAGCCAUCCUGAGCUGGCUCUGUUUGCUUGUGUCUUUGGCAGUGAGCAGUAGUCCUGAACGGAGCAGGCACCUUUCAGAGGCAUGAGCUGUGUGACUUGGCACCGGAUGAAGGCUAUGCCAGCUGUUCUGCAUGACACACUAAAUAAAAUUUCUCUGCUGUCAGUUACACUGUAUUGCUGGGAUCUACAAACUAGACAAAGCAUCAGCAAGUUACGCCCUGAACCUCCAGGUCUGUGAACUUUCUUUCCUUCUGGCCGGUUGUAAAGUCUUUGCGGAGGAUGAGAUCCGCACGUCUCACCCUGUCCAUUAGAGCUGGUGAACGUUUCUGCAUGGCAACAAAUUACAGCACAGCUGGAUUUGCUGCUGGCCGAGAGCGAGGACCAGAUGACACAUUAACAACUGCGGCUGUGCAGAGAACACCUUAGCCCUCGUCCCCCUUUCCCUCCCUCCGUGCAUGCCUGUCCUUGCAAACCACAACCAAGCUGUCAGAUGCUUAGUGGCACCGCUGUGCCAUUCCCCGGCCCUGCCAGCUCUUCCUCAUCACCGAGCUGUGAACCCCCGGCAUGCUCCCAGAGGAUGGUCGGUCCACCUUUGCAGGCGCUGGCGUGUUACGCCGGGACAGCUGUGUGGGGCGAGCAGCCCCAACGCGCUGGGUUGCUCCUGCACCCCACGGAGCAGCAGCCGCCCGCUGCACCUGAAGCGGUGUGAGCCCUGCAACUGCUCCCGUCUGCAGCGAAUUCACCCCUUCUGCCAGCACGGGAGAGCUGCGGGCUGCUGCGGUCAGGCUGCCCUGGGACCUGGUGCGGCAUGGCCGCCUGCCUGGGCGGAGGAGGAGGAAGGUCUUUGGUGGGGGGGUGCUCGGCACUGACGGUGGUCUGGGGGCCCAGGUCAAAGCCGAGCGUCCCAGCAAGGGCUGUGGCUAGGGCAGGAAGGUUUCCGCCAUUUCCUUACAGCUUGCGUAAGCCCAGAUAUUGUUUUACACGGCGGCAGCGUGAGCUGGGGUGCUGCGGGCAGCCUGACCGGUGACCGAGAGGCCGCGGGGAGUCAGAGGGAACGGCCCCAUGGGUAGAGGCGAUGUGAGGCUGUCGCCUGACUGAAAGGUGGCACCUUUUGAACAACUCGGCAGAAAGUUUUUCAGCUUUCUCAAAUUGGCCACCCCAAUGUUCCUGUGCUUACUGGCAUGGGUAAAACUGCCACUAAACCACUUCUUUUAAGAAAGCACUUUCAAGUAGAGAAAGUUGUCAGAAAUGGUUGUUCAAAAUGGGCAUUUCCAUGUUGUCCCCUCCAAAGAACAAUUUUAAGCUCAGGACCACCUUCAGUCAGGAAAGUUUAAAACUAAGAUGGCAGAAUAGAGACCUGUUAGUAUUUCAUGUAUGGUACGGUAUCUAUCCGGGGCACCACUAGCUUGUUCUUCACCAGCAAUUGCUCUUAACCAUUUAUAUUUCUCUUAAUCUUACAUCUUCAAUGUGCUGUACCAGACUAAUUCCCUUUAAUGUGAAAUGCGCUACACAAACCUCAGAUGUUAUUAUUAUACUAUUAUCAGACAUAAUUAGCCUUAUGUAUUUUGUUUACAGAAUACACCAAAGGUGUUGGAAACUGUUCUAUAUGCCUCCUGAACAGAUUGUGCUGGCUUUGCAUUAAUACCAUUUAUGGUCUGCUUUAAUCUUCAAAGUGCAAGACCAGUAGUUGCAUCUGCCACACAGUAAAUACUACACCUUUCGGAAAGUGGUGGGACUAAGAACAGCAAGCAGCAGUGACUUUCCAGAGGAAAUAUCAGUAAGUCAGUAAAACAUACACAGUGACAUGCUUGGUAUUACAAAUAAAUGGGUUGUAUGACCUA